AUGAACGCUGGCGGCGUGCCUAAUACAUGCAAGUCGCGCGAACAGACGAGGAGCUUGCUCCUCUGACGUUAGCGGCGGACGGGUGAGUAACACGUGGAUAACCUACCUAUAAGACUGGGAUAUCUUCGGGAAACCGGAGCUAAUACCGGAUAAUAUAUUGAACCGCAUGGUUCAAUAGUGAAAGACGGUUUUGCUGUCACUUAUAGAUGGAUCCGCGCCGCAUUAGCUAGUUGGUAAGGUAACGGCUUACCAAGGCAACGAUGCGUAGCCGACCUGAGAGGGUGAUCGGCCAGACUGGAACUGAGACACGGUCCAGACUCCUACGGGAGGCAGCAGUAGGGAAUCUUCCGCAAUGGGCGAAAGCCUGACGGAGCAACGCCGCGUGGGUGAUGAAGGUCUUCGGGUCGUAAAACUCUGUUAUUAGGGAAGAACAAAAGUGUAAGUAACUAUGCACGUCUUGACGGUACCUAAACAGAAAGCAACGGCUAACUACGUG
rnacentral:rRNA from 1 species